CCUACGGGUGACAGCAGUGGGGAAUAUUGGGCAAUGGACGCAACUCUGACCCAGCAACGCCGCGUGAAUGAUGAAGGUCUUCGGAUUGUAAAGUUCUUUUCUAAGGGAAGAAGAAAGUGACGGUACCUUAGGAAUAAGCCUAGGCUAACUACGUGCCAGCAGCCGCGGUAAUACGUAGGAGGCAAGCGUUAUCCGGAAUGACUGGGCGUACAGGGUGCGUAGGUGGUUUGACAAGCUAGUAGCGAAACGCCGGAGCUCAACUUUGGAACUACUACUAAAACUGUUUGACUUGAGUGCAGGGGGGGCAAGCGGAAUUCGUAGUGUAGCGGUGGAAUGCGUAGAUAUUAGGAAGAACACCGGUGGCGAAGGCAGAAUGCUGGAGUGUAACUGACACUGAGGCACGAAGGCGUGGGUAGCGAACAGGAUUAGAUACCCGAGUAGUC
rnacentral:rRNA from 1 species